rnacentral:rRNA from 1 species
CAUAAGACUCUCGGCAACGGAUAUCUUGGCUCUCGCAUCGAUGAAGAACGUAGCAAAAUGCGAUACCUGGUGUGAAUUGCAGAAUCCCGUGAACCAUCGAGUUUUUGAACGCAAGUUGCGCCUGAGGCCUCCUGGUUGAGGGCACGUCUGCCUGGGCGUCACG